GAAGCCUUCCUGGUGCUCCCGGUCCCGGAUUUGGGACGCGUGGGCCCACUCCUGUCACGCUGGGGUGGCGGGGAGCGGUGCCUCACCUCCCCAGCUGGGCCCUUCUGUGCACUCCUGGUUCCACCUGCGCCCUGAAUAAGUGCAGAGGUUGGCAUGUACAUUUCCCAGGAAAGGAAGUCAGAAAGACUGGGUCGCCAAAUGGGAAAGGAGCUGAGAGUUUGGGCCACCUCCCCAGCCACUGAAUUGCCCCACCUGCCCUUGUGGGUGGAGCCCUGAGAGUCUCCUGGGAUCAACAGAGACCUUAGCAACAGGAGCCACUGUGUUGCAGAAACAGGCCAGUAGGCGAGGUGGCACUGGGUUGAGGCAGGCGGGAGUCCCCUUUGCUUAUGGAACACCUGGCAGCCCCAGGCCCCAGGCCAGAGGCCCCACCUCAAGCCAUUAAGAAUGUUCUGCCAAGGGCUGAGGAAUGGCUGCCAGGAGUCCCUGGGUGUACCCCAACCUGGGCCACCAACCUUGAGACCGGACUUCCCUCAGAUCUAGAGCUGAGUGAGGAGCAGCGGCUGCAGGUCUGCAAGGAGGUGGUGGACCUGCAGAUCAGAACCCAUCACUUGCAGGAGCAGCAUGAGGCUGAAAUCUUCGAGCUGAGGAGUGAGGUCCUGCGGCUGGAGAGCCGAGUGCUGCAGCUCGAGCUGCAUGGAGAGCAGGCAGCCCCAGUAAAAGCUGACCUGGGACACUAUCAGGCACUGGGACAGGAGCUUGGGCACAAGGCCUGGGGGCAGGGACACUCUGACCAGCGCAGACUCCAGGCACAGCCCAAGGACUUCCUGACCCCUGAGAAUGAACAGCAGAAGCUGGGGGACAGCGGAGCAGAGCGGGUGCUGGAACAGCACAGGGCUCGGCAGCAGGCGCUGGAGACGUGCGUGGCAGCCCUGGGCCAGCAGCUGCAGGGAGCCCGGGAGGAGGCCAGGACAGCCGGGCAGCAACUGACUGCAUGUGCCAUGGUGCUGUCUGCCUGCCGGGGCCAACUCCACCAGGCUGAGGCAGAGAACGCCCAGCUGCAACUGCAGCUCAAGAAGCUAAAUGAGGAGUACGCCAUCCGACUGCAGCAUCGCGCGCGAGCCGCCGUGGCUGAGUGUGCAGACGGUGCAGGCCCAACGGCGGCGGUCACAGCCCUUCGGACAUUCCUGGAGACCACUCUGGAGGACAUCCGGGUGGCACACCACAGUCGUGAGCAACAGCUGGCCCGGGCUGCUCGCACCUACCGCAAGUGCCUGGCAGAUCUGAGCCAGAGGCAUGAGGAGCUGCUAGCUGCACACAGCCCCGCACCUUACCACAGGACCCAUCCCAGGCUCAGCAAAGCCCCAACCCCAGGGCCUCUGAGCAACCUCCUCGUUCAGCAACCGAGACUCCCUACCACAAAGCCUGUACAGCCCAGCAGACUGGCGACGCUGCUCUCAUUCCCACAGAAGGGACCCAGGGAAGCCACCCAGGGGAGCAGGCUGGAGCCACGGGGCUUGGAAGCUGCAUCCUGGGCCCAGAUCCACCAGAAACUACAGGACUUCUCCCAUGGCACCCAGAGCUGGAGCGGGAGCGGGCACAGCUGCUAGUCCGGGCCACGAUGGCUGAGGAACAACUUUCUGAGCUACAGGAGUAUGUGGACCAGCACCUGGGCAGGUACACACAGGAGAUCCUGAGGCUGAGGAAGCUGGUAGGGCCAGGAGACACCGGGAAAGGGGGGGCCACACCUCCAGCCAAGCCCCAGCGACCAAGGACUCACAGCCGCUAGCUGGUCAUCAGAUAAACUUGGAGCAGAACUCUCCACAGCCAGCACGGAGCCUCCUCGCAGCUUCUCUUUGCGAGACCAUCCCCCUGGCCCUCCCCCAACAAGAAUCCGGGUGGA